GGCUGUGUACAUUUGUAUGAUAAAAAUUGAAGUGGGUAAAGGACGGAGAUGAUAUUUGACAGUAUUCCCUCCACUCCACAGCUGGGAACACCUGAGCGCCUGUGAAAUAGCGACCCUGACGCGGAUGCACCGUGGUCCGCGUCGGACAAAGGGCAACACCCUGCUCUGUGUCUGCGUCUUUGUGCUUCCUUAAAUAUCGGGGUAUUAUAUAUCCGAGGGGCAAAAGGCACUAUUCCCAACAGCGAGAGGAAAAUGCCACCGCCCCGUGUCCACGUCCACUCCGAGAAGCGCGCUUCAGGCCUGCCUGGGCUCUGCUCAUAAAAGCGCAAAGCUUAAAUGGCUUGGUGAUUAUUGGCUUUCGCCCUUGGACGGAGAAAUGAGAUCACGGCUUUCACCAAGGGAAGGAACCGCCGCUGCCAGGCUGCUGAGGCUGCCGCUUCCCCUCCCUGCGCGGGUCCCGCAUUACAUCACCGGCGACCGCGGUCAGAGCCGGGAAGGCAGAAACGCCUCCUCCCGGCCCAGAGCAGAAGCGGCUAUCCAGGGGGAGGAAGGCGCCUCACCUUGUCCCCUAUGAGGGACGGAUCAUGCCAUGGCAGCUCCGACGAGCGACAGCGGCGGCAGCGAACAGAGCCCGAGCAGCAGCCCCGGGAACCCGGUGGGAGUCGGGGACAACUCUGCG
rnacentral:lncRNA from 1 species